rnacentral:lncRNA from 1 species
CUCGAGACACACCAGGAUUCCCACGUGCAUGCAACAGACAAUAACGACUCAAUCAAGGAAGUGUCAAAGGUGAUCAAAAUGGUAUUUAUUCAAAUCCCAUUCAUCACUCCUCAUCAAAUCCUUAUUUAAAAGGUAACUCCCAAAUUUCCUAUUAUGUGAAAUAGUAUCUGGCAAUUAUUCACCCAAUUACACCAUAUAUGGCUGGCCACUAUUCGUCAAAUAGGGUCCGCAACUCCCCUAUAUAUAGCCAUAUUAUCCCACUACAAAGCUAAGCCAUUUGCUACCCACAAACUCCUAAACACAUUCCUUUCAUAAUUCUAACUUUGGCAUCGGAGAUUCUUCGGCCAAAGCUGUUGGAAAUAUGCCCUGAAAGUCAAUCUUUGGAAGAAACCUUUCAGGACAAUGAAUGGAUGUAUAGAUGAUUCUUGUACAUCAAAUGGCAAAGAUACUAAUUAGGACUAUCUCAACACACGAUAUAUGUCCUAAAUAGUGAAUCCAUGGACAAUGGAUUG